rnacentral:tRNA from 1 species
ACCUGGCUGGCUCAGUCAGUGGAGUGUGGGACUCUCAAUCUCAGGGUUGUGGGUUCUAGCCCCACUUUGGAUG